UCAUCCAUCAGGAUGGGUCUCGCUUGCUAACCCGUGAGAUCUGGUCUCAUAAAAUUAUUCUCCGUGUCCACCCCCGCCGCCGUUCCUCCCGCCGCUUGGCUCUCGCCGGCCUUCCGCCCCGCAGUGGUGCGGCCGAGCUUGGGCGCGCCGCUGCUGUCUCCUCGCUGGUCCUGGAUCCUAGACGGCGGGCCUCCCCGACCUUCGAUCCCCUCGCUUCAACGGCGGCGGCACCCCGUCCUUUUCUAAGGCUUCGGCGACAGCAUCCACGUCCACCUCGACGUCCUGUGCUUCGGGGAUGGUGGCGCUUCUGCUCCUCGUGCAGUGGAUCAGGGGUGUCCCCCAGCGGCGGUUGUGGCGGUCUGAUCCGCGAGGAUGAUGCAAAAUCGUGGAUGAAGUUCGGGAACUCCUGGUCUUGACCGACGCCCUCUGCUCCGGUCGCCGACCCAGCAACCAGAUCGUGGGUGCCAUCCUGCCCUAAGGUCCAAAGAAAUAAGUUCUACAAGUGCAACCUUAUGUCUGUAUCAGGUGUACUGCUCUAAAUUGCUUGAACGGUCAGGUGUCCUGUUAUAUGGACCUCCAGGCACUGGGAAGACAUUACUUGCGAAAGCAGUAGCAACUGAGUGCUCAUUAAACUUUCUUAGCGUAAAAGGUCCGGAACUUAUAAACAUGUAUGUUGGAGAGUCAGAGAGGAAUAUCAAGGACAUCUUUGAGAAGGUAUAUCCAUCUGCACAAGCCAUGUUUGUAAUUGCCAUGAAAUAUGAACAUAUACUCGGGUUUUCAGUUUUUACUGUCCAUUUGAGGCUAAAUCAGCACGUCCAUGAGUAAUUUUCUUCGAUGAGCUUGAUUCCCUUGCUCCUGCACGAGGGUCCUCUGCAGAUUCUGGAGAUGUGAUGGAUAAAUGGUUUCUCAGCACAAAUGCCCGAGGGAGAUGCAUAUGUUUGGCAUUCUAUCAGUAAACAUACACGUGCGCUGGCUUGCAGUACUACAUUUUGUGAUUGUGUAGUAUUCACACCACUACUAAUGCUUAAGUCCGUUGCCUUGCCGUGUAAUUGUGUCAUAUGCACCCCAAUACUAAUGCUCUAUCCUCUCGCCUGAGAGCACGUGUUGUGCUUUGUAUCAUCUAAAAAAGAUGUAAACCCUAUAAGUAGAAUUGUAGAAACAGACUUUAGCACUGUGAUCCAGUAUGUAUUGAGUAGUGGAUUAAUGUAUGUAUUUGGUGUGCUUGCAACUGCUUA